rnacentral:rRNA from 1 species
ACGCUCGACACCUACGGGGGGCAGCAGUGGGGAAUAUUGCACAAUGGGGGAAACCCUGAUGCAGCGACGCCGCGUGAGCGAAGAAGUAUUUCGGUAUGUAAAGCUCUAUCAGCAGGGAANAAACUGACGGUACCUGACUAAGAAGCACCGGCUAAAUACGUGCCAGCAGCCGCGGUAAUCUGAGGCGGGCUGGCAAGGC